rnacentral:rRNA from 1 species
UACGAAGGGGGCAAGCGUUUUUCGGAGUAACUGGGCGUAAAGCGCACGUAGGCGGAUUUGUAAGUCAGGGGUGAAAUCCCGGGGCUCAACCUCGGAACUGCCUUUGAUACUGCAAGUCUGGAGUCCGGAAGAGGUGAGUGGAAUUCCUAGUGUAGAGGUGAAAUUCGUAGAUAUUAGGAAGAACACCAGUGGCGAAGGCGGCUCACUGGUCCGGUACUGACGCUGAGGUGCGAAAGCGUGGGGAGCAAACAGG